AGCAAAGGAGGGUUUUAGGGAUGAAAAGGAUCAAUUUUUCUCCUUAAAACUUCAUCAAUUAGUAACAUAUGAGAUUCGUUUCACCUUUGGGAUCUCUCUCUCCAAAGGGUUCCUCCAAAUUUAUUUCAAAAAGAUGAAAUUCAAGUGUAGGUGGCAAUUGAAAGGAGUCUUGGAAGCUUGGGAAUAGCAUUCUCCUAAGCAAGUCUUAGCAUGUUCUCAUCUGAUUCGAGGACGUGGAUAUAUUUAGCUUUUCUUUUCAAAGACGUUGUAAUAGACAUUAGUAUUUCUAUUUCAUUGAUGUAUGGGUUGUGACCCAACAUAUUCAUGUGUCUAAGAUGGCUACAAAUAGACUUAGCAUUUCUAUUAUUUCAAUAAAUGAGAUUUGAACUA